GUAACAUUACCAUUUGUAAAAAUUAAUUUGUAACACAAAAACCUGUAGAUAUUAAUUUGAGUAACAGUGAAGUCCUAGUACUCGAUUUCUAGUGACUUCUCUAGCAAGAUACUGAUGAUGUGUACUUUCGUGUCUGCUAUUUUUAUGGUAUUUUGAUAACAAUUUUUUCUUUUAGUUGGGUAAAAUAAUUUUCUCUUACCUCUCUCCCUUUCUCUUACUCCUAGUCUCCUCUCCCCUCCCAUCUUUCUGUCUCUCUUUCCUUCCUCUCCUUACUUGUUGCUGCCUUGGCUACCUUGCUUUCUUUUUUCUUCCCAUCCAU
rnacentral:misc_RNA from 1 species